GUAAAAGAGAAAGAUUUUUAAUUACUAGAAGGCAAGAUGCAAGGAAAAAGGCAAGAACACAGGGGAUAUGGUACCAUGGACUUAUUUCUCAUGCCUUUCUAAAUAUCAUCAUUAGAUUCUUAGUUAUGACUCAAAAGAUUUGAAGUCAGUUUGCUGAGAAAGCAGGCUUUUCAUUCCUUUGAACAAGGGAGACAGGAUGGCAUCAAGAGGUUCUUCAAGGCCUGUGAAAACAUAGGAUUAUCGCAACGUGGGGUUGAGCCUG